AUUGAACGCUGGCGGCAGGCCUAACACAUGCAAGUCGAACGGUAACAGGAAGAAGCUUGCUUCUUUGCUGACGAGUGGCGGACGGGUGAGUAAUGUCUGGGAAACUGCCUGAUGGAGGGGGAUAACUUCUGGAAACGGUAGCUAAUACCGCAUAACGUCGCAAGACCAAAGAGGGGGACCUUCGGGCCUCUUGCCAUCGGAUGUGCCCAGAUGGGAUUAGCUAGUAGGUGGGGUAACGGCUCACCUAGGCGACGAUCCCUAGCUGGUCUGAGAGGAUGACCAGCCACACUGGAACUGAGACACGGUCCAGACUCCUACGGGAGGCAGCAGUGGGGAAUAUUGCACAAUGGGCGCAAGCCUGAUGCAGCCAUGCCGCGUGUAUGAAGAAGGCCUUCGGGUUGUAAAGUACUUUCAGCGGGGAGGAAGGGAGUAAAGUUAAUACCUUUGCUCAUUGACGUUACCCGCAGAAGAAGCACCGGCUAACUCCGUG
rnacentral:rRNA from 1 species